GGAGGAUCCAAGCGUUAUCCGGAAUCAUUGGGUUUAAAGGGUCCGUAGGCGGCCUUAUAAGUCAGCGGUGAAAGUUUUUGGCUUAACCAAAGAAUUGCCGUUGAUACUGUAGGGCUUGAAUUUUUGUGAAGUAACUAGAAUAUGUAGUGUAGCGGUGAAAUGCUUAGAUAUUACAUGGAAUACCUAUUGCGAAGGCAGGUUACUAACAAACGAUUGACGCUGAUGGACGAAAGCGUGGGUAGCGAACAGGAUUAGAUACCCUGGUAGUCCACGCCGUAAACGAUGGAUACUAGUUAUUGGAUUUUCGGAUUCAGUGACUAAGCCAAAGUGAUAGGUAUCCCACCUGGGGAGUACGAACGCAAGUUUG
rnacentral:rRNA from 1 species